ACCAAGAGUCAGUUACACAAUUCGACAGUUUUUAUUUAGCUUUCAAUCAGAUAAUUUUGAUUUCGACUUGUUAAAAUCAGGAAACUAGUUAGUCAUGAUAGAUAUGUUAAGGAGCGGAGAUGCGUUGUCUACUUCCGCCGGCUGCACAUAUAAAACUAAAAUCGGAAACAAAAAGUAAAAAAAAUGAAAAAAAUCUGCUGGAAAAAGCGCGCACCGGAUGUAAAUGGAGCCCAGCUGCAUGCCAAAAUGCAAUUGUCAUCAAUACGACAACAACAACAGCACUGACAGCAGCAAGGACUACAAAGCCAAUUCAUAAAAACAAAGGCGACCGCCAACAACAAGAACAACCAAAGGCAAAAAGCGAAUUUCAGUAACGGAUGUAAAUAAACCGCAUGAGAUCGAUUACCUCCCCAGCGUGCGAGCAGCGGCAGGACGCGCUGGGCUUGCCUCUCACCUGCCGGCCGCCAGGAUAACAGAUGCGCACGGCGCACAGUCUGUUUUCAACAGGUCAUCAACAGCUGUGCCGCUGCCAAAAAAGCAAAAAAAAAAAAAUCCCGCCUGUUGCUCGCAAAAAAAGUGCCAAGUUAAAAUUUAUUUAAGCCACAGACACUUAUGCGUAAGACAAAAGCAAAAAAAAGCAGCAGCCGCCGGCGCAGAGGCCACUCGUUUAGUUCGACAACAACAACAACAAGAAAAGCUCAUUAAGGUAUUGCACCUGGUGCAUCUUGAGCUGAAAUUGAAACUGAAAACUGGUCCUGGAUGCGUCCGCGUCUGCGUCUGCAUCUGCAUCUGCGCCUGCUUGGAAAUGGAGCUCGGGGGCGAUAUUACGGACCAUAUUAUAAGAUAAAACGUCCGGACAAAGGCUGUUCAUCAAUAAAUGUGUUGAUAUUAUUACGGUAAACAUGCUGAUGCAUUUUAAAUUGAAUUUAAGAUCACUUCACUCUCUCUAAUUGGGCUGCCUGAUGCCUGAUGACCCAGCGAUUUGGCUUAUUGAAAACUCAUCAACAUCGAAUGGCUGGCCAAACAAUUUAAAGGGCGCAAUUCCCUGGAACAACAAUAAUAACAAUAAUAAUAAUAAUAAUACAAAAGUCAGCGCUCAUCGUAAACGUAUUAACUCGGAAAGGUGCCAGCCAAGGUGAGAAUGCCGACAAAGAAGCCAAAGAAUCCUCAACGAACGCCUACAGAUGCACAAUGCCUCAAUAGAAAACAGUUGCAUACAAAGUCAGGCACUGUAACACAUUAAUCAUGUAGCUGGAAUAACCCAUAUAUAUAUGUGUGUACAUAUAUACAUAUAUAUUUUCGUAUAUAUAUGCGACCAUGGUCACAAUUGUCUCCGAGGCUUUAAUAAAGCAAGCGAAUGCGAAUGUUUUAUGGCCUGCAGCUGAAAGUCAAAUACGGCACAUAUAUCCUUGCCUCUAUCCAGCAUCUGUAAACUGCUUGCGGUCAAGAUUGGGAAACAAUGGUCGCUCGGGCGUCCAGCGUUAAGGGUCGAGGCCAAAAGUCAUUUGAGUUGCGUUAAAGAAAAAUUACACGACGUUUUGUGGAGCAAUUACCAGGUGUAAAAAUGCUCAAGGGCGUGGACUAAUUGUUCGACUCGGUUCAACUUGCCAAAUGCCAGAGUACACAUACCUCUCGCUCUCUCGUUCUCUACCUCCCUCUCUCUCUCUCUCUGUCGCUCUGCCACUCUGCAUUGAGCUGGACAUAGUUUCGCACUGGGUUCCUCGUAAUCAAAUGCAGCGACUCAGCCAACGUGCGCUGUAAUUUUGUGCCUGCUUUGUUCGUCGCCGUUGCCCAAUUGUUUGGGCGCUGCCUUUGUCGGAACUUUUAUUGAAAAGCCUCGUCUAUUGCUAUUGAGCAGUUUUAUUCCCAAAUCCCUGGCCCUGGUCCUGGGCCUGCUCUGACUGCGGCUCUUGGCUAUUGUCAUUUGUGCGGCGCUACUGAAGCGUUAUUAAUGUUGGUCGAUCUGGUCGCUGCAUUGGCCAAAACCGAGGCUGCAACUACUGUGCCGCUUGAUUUGUACGAAUCGCAAUAAUUUGACAGCUGGAAAUUCGUGGAAACUGAAGAGAGGGAGAGCGUGAGAUAUAUUGUUGACCCGUCAGGUAAGCAAA